UCAGGGGGCUGGGCGGCCGCGGCCUCGCGCAAGCGAGGGCGAGGAAAGUCCGGGCUCCACGGAAUAACGGUGCCGGGUAACGCCCGGCGGCUGCCUUCGGGCAGUCAGGGAUAGUGCCACAGAAAGCAUACCGCCGGCCUUCGGGCGGGUAAGGGCGAAAGGGUGCGGCAAGAGCGCACCGCGCGACUGGCAACAGGAGCGGCACGGUAAACCCCACCGGGUGCAAGACCGAAUAGGGGCGGCACAUGAGCCAUUUCCGGCUCGUCGCCCGGGUUGGUCGCUUGAGGCUGGGAGCAAUCCCGGUCCUAGAGGAAUGGUCGCCCAGUCUCCGCAAGGGGAUGGACAGAACCCGGCUUACAGGCCCCCUGGCAAA
rnacentral:RNase_P_RNA from 1 species